rnacentral:rRNA from 1 species
GACGAACGCUGGCGGCGUGCUUAACACAUGCAAGUCGAACGGAAAGGCCCUGCUUGCAGGGUACUCGAGUGGCGAACGGGUGAGUAACACGUGGGUGAUCUGCCCUGCACUUCGGGAUAAGCUUGGGAAACUGGGUCUAAUACCGGAUAGGAGCCAUCUUUAGUGUGGUGGUUGGAAAGUUUUUUCGGUGUAGGAUGAGCUCGCGGCCUAUCAGCUUGUUGGUGGGGUAAUGGCCUACCAAGGCGGCGACGGGUAGCCGGCCUGAGAGGGUGUACGGCCACAUUGGGACUGAGAUACGGCCCAGACUCCUACGGGAGGCAGCAGUGGGGAAUAUUGCACAAUGGGCGCAAGCCUGAUGCAGCGACGCCGCGUGGGGGAUGAGGGCCUUCGGGUUGUAAACUCCUUUCGCUAGGGACGAAGCUUUUUUGUGACGGUACCUAGAUAAGAAGCACCGGCUAACUACGUG